GGAGCUCGAGCCUACCGAGACACGCCUCCACCGGCCACAAAUUCCGUUACUCGGGGAAAAACGGAUUUGACAACAUGGCGCACUUUCUGAGAAAUACCUUUAGUUAGUUCGCGACCGGUAGAGUGGGAAUAUCGCAUGAUUGUUCGCUUUUUUUGAGGUCCAUGAAAACAGAAUGGUUGGAGUUCCUUCCUACUACAUUGUUGUGUGAGAUCGCACUGUUUCUCUGUCCUGUUUGGGAAGCGGACUGCAUGGGAUGAAAGUUUAAAACUAGGACAGGAUGGAGAAACAUCGACCGAAGAAAGAAAGGUUCUCACUCUUCGGCCCUCGCUCUUCUACCCGCGCCACCAACCCUCCUUCUUCCUCCUCUUCGUCCUCUACCUCUGCCCGCCCCAUCCCUCCCCCUCUCUGCCAGACAGACCCUCAUCCUUGCAUCCCUCCCGGGCCAACAAUCCUUUCUAAGGCAGAGUUUCUGGAGGCAGUACGUCGCAGUAACCAGGCAUGCCAACGGGGGCAGUACAGCCUGGCAGUGCAGCUCUACGGGGAGGCCCUGUCUGCUGACCCUCAGAACUGCAUCCUGUACAGUAACCGCUCUGCGGCCCUUCUCCACCUUGGACAGUACCAGACCGCCCUGGACGACGCCCUCAAAGCCCGCCUGCUUAACCCCAAAUGGCCCAAGGCAUACUUCCGUCAGGGUGUGGCCCUGCAGUACCUUGGUCGCCAUGCCGACGCCCUGGCAGCGUUUGCCUCUGGUCUAGCGCAGGACCCCAAGAGUCUCCAACUACUGGUGGGCAUGGUUGAGGCUGCCAUGAAGUCCCCACUACGAGACUCUCUAGAACCCACCUACCAUCAGCUGCAGAGGAUGAAGCUGGACAAGAGUCCAUUCGUGGUGGUGUGUGUGAUUGGUCAGGAGCUGCUGACCGCUGGUUACCACGGCGCCUCAGUGGUGGUCCUGGAGGCGGGGCUAAAGAUCGGCACAUGCUCUCUGAAGCUCCGAGGUUCAGUGUUCUCUGCUCUUAGCUCAGCCUACUGGUCGCUAGGCAACGCAGAGAAGAGCACAGGAUACAUGCAGCAAGACCUGGAGGUUGCCAAGACGCUAGGUGACCAAUCAGGCGAGUGCCGAGCUCACGGGAACCUAGGCUCUGCCUACUUCUCCAAGGUCAACUACAGGGAGGCUUUGACCAAUCACAGACAUCAGCUGGUCCUCGCCAUGAAACUCAAGGACAGAGAGGCUGCGUCCGCUGCGCUGAGCAGCCUUGGCCAUGUGUACACAGCGAUCGCGGACUAUCCCAACGCCCUGGCCAGCCAUAAGCAGUGUGUGCUGUUGGCACGGCAGACCCAGUGCCCGCUGUCAGAGGCUCGCCAGCUGGGCAAUAUGGGCGCUGUCUACACGGCACUGGGAGACUUCACCAACGCUAUGCAGUGUCACCAGCAACACCUGGAUAUAGCUAAGACCCUGGGUAAUGGUCCUGAGGAGGCGCGGGCGUACAGUAACCUGGGCAGUGCCCACCACAGCCAGAGAGACUUUGACAAGGCUGUGUCCUACCACACCCUGGUGCUGCAGCUGGCUCAGGAGCUGGAGGACAGGACUAUACAGAUGAGGGCUUACGCCGGCCUGGGACAUGCUGCUCGCUGCAUGCAGGACUUGGAGAGGGCAGGCCAGUACCACCAGCAGCAGCUGGACAUAGCGGAGGAGCUGCAGGACAGAGCUGCACAGGGACGAGCUUCAUCCAACCUGGGUAUAAUCCAUCAGAUGAAGGGGGAGUACGAUGCAGCGUUGAAGCUCCACAAGGCCCACCUGUGUUUGGUCCAGGAGCUGGGGGACUAUGCUGCUCAGGGCAGGGCCUAUGGGAACAUGGGAAAUGCCUACAACGCUCUGAGGAUGUAUGACCAAGCUGUACGCUACCACCGGCAGGAACUGCACAUAUCACUCGAGGUGAAUGACCGUCCCUCCCAGGCCUCUACCCAUGGUAACCUGGCUGUAGCUUAUCAGGCACUGGGCGCUCACGACCAGGCUCUCCAGCACUACCUGCACCACCUGUCCAUCGCACGCGAGCUACGAGACACGCAGAGCACGGCCAGGGCACUAGGUAACCUGGGUAACUUCCAUUGCUGUAGAGGGGAGUAUGUCCAGGCAGUUCCCUACUACCAGCAGUACCUGACCCUGUCACCUCAGCUACAGGACCUGGAGGGAGAGGGCAAGGUCUGCCACAACCUGGCCUACACACACUACUGCCUGGGACAGUACAGGGAGGCCGUCAGGUAUUAUGAGCAGGACCUGGCCCUGGCUAAAGACCUGGGUGAUAAGUUGUCCCAGGCUAAAGCCUACUGUAACCUGGGUCUGGCCUACAAAGCCCUGGGGGAAUAUAGCAAGGCUGAGGACUGUCAGAGAUACCUGCUGUCCCUGGCUCAGGCUCUGAACAACAGUCAGGCAGUGUUCCGUGCCCUGGGAAACCUGGGGGAUGUGUGUGUGUGUCGGGGUGACGUGGCCGGGGCGGUGAGGUUCUACCAGCAGCAGCUCACCCUGGCUCAGGAGGUCAAAGAACACAAGAUGGAGGCUGAUGCCUACUCAGCGCUAGGCUCUGCCCACAGACUCCUCCGUCAGUACGACCUGGCCUUGUCCUUCCACCAGCAGGAGCUGUCUGCCCGCACUGCUCUAGACGACCAGCGGGGGCAGUGUGGUGCUCUGGGCCGCCUGGCAGCCGUCCACAUGGCCCUGACAGACUACCCCACAGCCUUCCAGUGUUACCAGGCCCAGCUCACCCUGACACAGGGCCUCAGAGAUGCCUGCGUGGAGGCACAGGUCCAGGGCAACAUGGGCAUCGCUAAGAUGAACAUGGGCGUCUUGGAGGAGGCCAUUGGGUAUUUUGAGCAGCAGUUGGCCAUGCUGGAGCAGCUGAGUGGGGCUGAGUGUGUGCUGGAUAGAGGCAGGGCCUACGGGAACCUAGCAGACUGUUAUGACUCUCUGGGAGACUUUGAGGAAGCUAUAAAGUACUGUGAGAUGUUUCUGACUGUGGCUCAGAGUCUCAACCAUAUUCAGGACCAGGAGAGAGCCUACAGGGGACUGGGUAACGCACACAGAUCUCUAGGUAGUCUCCAGCAGGCGUUGGUGUGUUUUGAGAAGCGUCUGGUGGUGGCCCAUGAGCUGGGCGGAUCGGGAGGUGGAGAGGGAGGAAGUGGAGGAAGGAAGGCCCAGGCCCAGGCAUAUGGGGAGCUGGGAGACCUACACAGCCAGCUGGGGAAUUAUGAACAAGCCCUAUCCUGCCUGGAGCAUCAACUCAACAUCGCCUCCACCGCAGGGGACCGGGCACUAGAGGGCGAAGCGAGCGGGGCGUUGGGUGGAGUGUACCAGCUGAUGGGAGAGAAUGAGACAGCUCUGCAGUGGCACCAGAGGGCAUUAGAGAUUGCGGAGGAAACAGGAAGUGUGAGGAGUCAGGGGAGGGCCUACGGGAACCUGGGAUUGACCUAUGAGGAGCUGGGAAACUACGAAAGGGCUGUGGCCUGUCAGGAGCAGCACCUGAGUGUGGCAGCGCAGAAUAAUGACCUCACAGCCAAGACACUGGCGUACGGCAGCCUGGGGAGGACACACCAUGCGCUACAGAACUACACACAGGCUGUCAUGUACCUGCAGGAAGGUCUGCGUUUAGCAGAGCAGUGUGGGAGGAGAGAGGAGGAGGCUAGGAUCCGUCAUCGUCUGGGCCUGUCACUGUGGGCCAGCAGCAACCUGGAGGAGGCCCAGAACCAGCUGUACCGAGCUUCUGCCUUGUUUGAGUCGAUUCGGCAUGAAGCCCAACUCAGCUCAGACUACAGGCUGACUCUGUUUGACCUGCAGACAUCAUCAUACCAGGCUCUCCAGAGGAUCCUCGUCAGCCUGGGUCAUUAUGACGAGGCCCUAGCCGUGGCAGAGCGGGGUCGGACCCGGGCGUUCGCCGACCUCCUGGUGGAGCGACAGCAGGGUCACCAACCCCUGACCUCUGACCCUUAUACCCUGACCCCUGACCCUUACUCCCCGGUAACCGUAGAACACAUCCUGAAUACGGUCAACAGUCAAAAGUCACUGGUGCUGUACUUCUCUCUGGCCGCAGGGUACCUCUACAGCUGGCUACUGGCACCAGGCACAGGUAUAGUGAAGUUCCAUGAGGUGUACCUGGGUGAGGGAGGAGCCGAGCUGCAGGCUUCAGAGAUCCAGCGGGGAGGAGUUAGUGGCUGCCAGACUCUGGAGCAGCACAUCACUGCAGCUAGAGAGGCUCUGGGAGUUGACGACUACUACAGCAGCGGUGAGACAGAGAGCGAAGCGGGUGAUCUGUUGGAACAGCAGUUUGAGGAACGGCUGAGCUCAGCCAGCGACCCCACAGGCUACCUACGCAUGGUUUCCAGAAACAACCUCUUCAACAGGGAUAGUAGGAGUUCUUCCUGUCUGGUCAGUUCUACGGUGUCUCCAGUGAGCGAGACCCCCUCUCUACCCUGUAGACCCCCACCCAGCCCCCUCGGCAAACCCCCCCUACGAGCACUUCACCACCUGCUCAUUGCACCUAUGGAGGGGGUGCUGAUGCCCAGUAGUGGUGCAGUGGGCAGACAUAGACAGCUGGUGUUGGUGUUAGAGGGAGAGCUGUACCUGGUUCCCUUUGCACUGCUCAAAGGUAGCUCUUCUAAUGAGUACCUGUAUGAGAGGUUCAACCUUCUAGCUGUCCCAUCUUUAGAGAGCCUGGGGCCUGUAGCUAAGUCCUACCCUCGUCGUGGGGCUCCCUUCCUCUACAACGGUGGGGGUUCCAUGACUGCAGUAGUAGGGGCUCCACGCCUGCCCUCCAGGGUGAUGGAGCGCUGGCUGUGGGGUCCGCUGCCCUCAGCCCACGACGAGGCCCUCCGCCUGGGGGAACUGCUGGGCUGCCAGCCCCUCACUGGAACACAGGCCACCAAGGACCGUGUGAUAGCAGCCAUGGGCCAGGCAGAGUGUGUUCACUUUGCUACUCAUGUCUCCUGGAAGCUGGCGGCCCUGGUUCUCUCCCCCAGCCAGGAUCCAGGGAUGGACUCGGGAACACGGCCCAAGGAGAGUGCACCGUGUGGGGGAUCGCUUUCAAGCGAGACUGGGGAUGUGGGAGCAAGGACUGAGCAACGGGAGGACGGGAGCGAGGACGGUGGAAGUGUGUGUGAUGCAGAGAGUGUGUGUGACAGUCCACCACUUCAGGAGUUUCUGCUCACUGCGGCAGACAUACUGGACCUGAGACUGCCUAUCAAACUGGUGGUGCUGGGGUCGUAUCAGGAGUGUGUUAGCAGGGUGACAGCUGACGGCGUGGUGGGUCUGACCCGUGCCUUCCUUGCAGCGGGGGUGCAGUGUGUGUGUGUGUCACUGUGGCCCGUUCCCAUGGCAGCCUCCAAGGUGUUCACACACACCUUCUACACGGCGCUGCUGAAUGGGACCAAGGCCAGUGCAGCUCUCACUGAGGCCAUGAAGACUCUACAGAGCAGCACACACUUCUCACACCCUUCUAACUGGGCGGGCUUCAUGCUGAUUGGCUGUGAUGUGAAGCUGAACAGCCCCUCAUCUCUGAUUGGACAGGCUCUGGCAGAGAUCCUCCAAUACCCUGAGAGGGCUAGAGACUCCCUGAGAGUACUUUUGCACCUGGUUGAGAAGUCUCUCCAGCGUAUACAGAGUGGUCAGAGUAAUGCUAUGUACACCUUGCAGCAGAGUGUGGAGAACAAGGUUGGUGGCGUACCGGGAUGGCAGGCCCUGCUGUCAGCCGUGGGGUUCCGGUUAGAUUGUCCCGGUACCGGCAGUGGUCUCCCCGCUGCUGUCUUCUUCCCUAUGGCCGACCCUGGAGACCGGCUGCAGCUCUGCAGCACCACUCUGCAGUCACUACUAGGUCUGCCUCAUUCAGCAUUCCAGGCCCUCUCUAAACUGGUCAUUGCUGCUGAGACUGGAGAACAGCUAAUCAACAAGGCUGUUAAAAAUAUGGUGGGAAUGCUCCACCAGGUAUUGGUUCAGAAACAGACAUGUGACAAGGAGCAGGAGUUCUCAUUGGCUCCCAUCCAGGUAUCCAUUAGUGUCCAGCUGUGGAGACUUCCUGGUUGUCAUGAGUUCCUGGCUGCGCUGGGUUUUGACCUGUGUGAGGCAGGACAGGAGGAGGUGCUAUUGAAGACUGGUAAACAGGCUUGCAGACGGACAAUGCACUUUGCAUUGCAGUCUCUACUGGCACUGUUUGACUCCACAGAGCUCCCCAGACGCCUCAGCCUGGACAGUUCUUCAUCUCUAGAGUCUCUCUCCUCCUCCCAGUGUGCCUCCGUCCCCCUUAACCUCCCUCAGCCUCCCUUCUCGCCCCCGCUUGGUGGCCCAGACAGUCUCUCAUGCGACGCAAUCUCCCUCUACAGCCUCAGCUCCCUCGCCUCCUCUCUCAGCUUCCUGUCCCGCCCUGAACCCGCAGGAAGUGAUGGCAUCAGCCAGCGUUCACGGCAGCAGGAACUGGAGCGGCACCGCGGAGGAGUCUCUCACCGACACACAGGAGAUGUGUCGAGAAACAGAUUAACGAAUCACAGAGGAGUAGGCAGAGGGACAGAGGGGGAGGAUAAGUAUGAAGGAUUCUCUAUCAUCAGCAGUGAGCCUCUGGGAGGAGGGGGGAGGGAGUGUGACACCUUACCCUUCCCUGGGGGACACAGACACAUUAGAGGAGCAGGGAGGGGAGGGGCGGCAGGGAGGGGGUACCCCGUCUCGAUCUCCUCCAAGGGGAGUGUCAGCACUCCCACCUCACCGCUCAAAGUCCUCCCCCCGCCCCUGGCCAUACCUCCCAGCCCUAACACACACGUUAAGUCCCAGGGCUCUCAGAGCUUGUCUGAAGGUCAGGUGGUCAGUACAGAGGCAGUCCUCUCGGAGUCUGACCAGUCCAGUACAGAGACAGACAGCACCGUCAAGUCCCAGGAAGACAAGCCACCCUUCACCACUCUGGACCCCCAGGAGCUGGCUACCAGGAUCCUGGAAGAGACCCAGAGCCACAUGCAGGCUUUAGAGAGCCUCCAGAGGGGGAGGACAGGAAGGGCAGGCAAUGGGGGAGGGGAGAAGGGGCUAAGAGGACAAGAAUGUACACCCUCCUCCACCUUAGCCCCCCUGACCCCCACUGGAGGUGGUUUGGGCUUCCGUUCGUCUGAAUCCAGCGCUUUCAGCAGACCCAGUAGUAGAGCCAGCCUACAGGCCCGGGCUUCACCUCUCUCCCUCUCCAGCCCUCUCUCACCCCUCCCUGCCACUCUCUCACCCAUCUCCACCCCUCUCCUCUCCACCAGGCCCAAACCCCCCUCUCGUUGCUCGUCCUUACAGAAGAUCAGCUCCGGCUACAACAGCCCGGCCCUAUCCUCCCUCUCUUCCUCCCUCUCUUUCUCUCACCCCCACCCCUCACCCUCCAGAACCCCAGACCCCCACAUCCAUGCGCAGCUCAGACUUAAAUACCCCAGCUCCCCUUACACCCCGCACAUCUCACACUCCCCCAAUAGCAUCUCCAUCUCCCCCAGCUCAGGCCACCCUUCUCCAGCCGGCAGCCUCCUGUCCCUGGCCGCCUCCCCAGCCCUCUCCCUGGCCCCCUCCCCAGCCCUCUCCCUGGCCCCCUCCCCUGCCCUCUCCUACUCCUCUACAGGCUCUACCGCGUCCCGCUCCAGCCUGGCUGAAACCCCUGGCCUGCGCCGGUUGAAACAGGCAGGCCUGGUGGACGAGAGGGUCCAGGCCAUCCACAACCUGAAAACCUUCUGGUCCAAUGCCACCCAGAGGCAGGAGGUUCCCGGCCCAGGCAGAGUGCUCCGAGAUGGGGGGAAGAAGAUGAGCACGGUCCAGAAAGAUGUCCUGGGGCUUCUCCACCUCUCUCCAAGACAUGGGUCCAACAACAAGAACCAGGACGCUGAGGGGCCCCAGAGCCCCAUCAACCCGCUUAACGGACAUCGAAUGCUGGGUUCAAAACCACCAGUGGCGCCUCCUCCUCAGACUGCUACUGACUCCUCCAGGGGAGGUAGUCCUGGAGCACCCCCACACCCUGUCAGACUGCCCUCUGGGAAUGGCUUCAAGUUCCCCUCGCCUGGGAAGUUCUUCCCCUCCUCUAAAUGCUGAGAGGGGAUAGAGCAGGGCUCACCAACCCUGUUCCUGGAGAGCUACCCUCCUGUAGGCUUUUAAUGCAACCCCAGUUGUAACUUACCCAAUUCAGCUCAUCAACCAGCUAAUUAUUAGAAUCGGGUGCGCUAGAUUAGGGUUGGAGCGACAACCAACAGGACAGUAGCUCUCCAGGAACAGGGUUGGAGAGCCGUGGGUUAGAGACUCUUCAUGGUUCGAUAUCUGCUCCUGACUCUAAGGCUCUUCAGGUGGGUUUUACUAGCUGGGCUGCGAGCUAUGAAAGGGACUGAACAUUACGUUAGCAAGAAGGUCCACUGGGGACCACCAAAACUGAAGUUCCGAUUUGCACUUUGCGGUGACUGACUGCCCCCUAGUGGGGAGGACAGAUCAGUGCUAGAUCAUAGAGGAGAAGAGUGCAUGCAGUCACUGAAGGACAGAGGGUCAGAUUGGUCUGUAAUAAUAACCCUGGGUUAUGGUGCCUAUGGUUCCUCACUGACAACAGAGCAUGUAGUCCUCAUGUCUCCUUCUACACUGUAAAGACACCUUAUACAGGCAGACUCUGUCUCAGGCUCGGAGACUGUUACGAUGACUGAAAAUACAAAAAUUGUGUUUUUACUUUCUAUCUAAAACAAUAAAAUGUAUGAUUUAUUUGAAUAUAAUUAUUGUUAACUGUUAUUAUAAAGGAUUGUAACUGUUAUAUUGUUAUUUUAUUUUGUUAAUAAAUCCAGUGUUUUGUCAUCAGUAUUAAAUGUAUUAUAUAUUAAAAAGCAAACAGUACACAAAUAAAAAACAUAUCAUAGUUUUAUUAAAUUGCUGAAAAGACAUGUGAGAAGACCUAUGUAAAUGAAGUGUCAGUCUGAAAGCAUGAACUCUCUUACUAUUGAAACAUGUAUUGUCUUUUUUUAAACACUUUUUGCAGAUGCAUCUGUUUUUUUUCUCAGUAAAUUCUUUUCAAUAAAACAAGUUUUGCUC